GGAAAUCGACACAAAAUUAAGGCACCUCGAUCUAACUUUUAAAUUAUACCGGGUUAAGCAUAAAAUAGGGCUUUUUGUCACAUGAUUACCAAUAACGAUCUACUCCUGAUAAAAGUGGAAAGAUUCUCACCGACACGACGCUUGGAAUCCUGGAAGAGGGAGGAAGGCCCUGAGAUCCGGGAUCGUCGAACAGGCCGCCUUUCGUCUCGGCACACAGUGGACUCCGAGUAGAUCUUGGGAAGAAGCCGAUUGCACAUCUUAUGAUGGGAUUUUAAUGAAGACGUGGCUGACUUUGGAAUGUUGGGAAGAGCCACCUGGGGAGAAGACUUGGAGCUUCAAAUGCUUUGGGAAGAAGAACGGGAUGCCUCUUGGGAUUCUUCAAGGAACGACUGGAGGGCUUGGAACCGGGUGGGUUUUCUUCGGUUUGGGAGCUUCCGCGGGAAGGGAAGAACCCGAGAGAAGAACCGGCUGGGUUCUUGCUUCGGGAAAGGAGGAAAAAAGGCUGAACUUCCUCUUCAUCUUCUUCGGCUGGAACUGCAAGGGAAAUUCCGAUGGGAAACGGGGACUCUUCACAGCAUCAUUUCGAAUAUCCUUCGUUGGCUGAAUCGGGGAGAACCGGCUGCAGGCUGGAAUGUCUUCAAUUG
rnacentral:lncRNA from 1 species